CCACCUCUGCACAGGAAUUAACAGGGUGAAAGUGAGAACUUCCUUUGGCAUCCUGUCUUUGUGGUGCUGCCAUUCCUGUUGAAUGCAGUCUCAGUGAUUUGUGCUGGCUGGAUUCACAUGUGGCAUCUCGUUGAUCAGGAAGUUUUCCAGAGCAUGAUCCAAGAUGAAUCUGAAUAGAUGUCAUCAGCAAUUUAUCCAUUAAUCACAAAGACCAAUAUCUCAAUUUAGGUGUCAAAGAGUAGCUAUUAGAAACCCUCUCCCCUUUCCUGGAAGUGAUACAGAGCCACUUGUGGCCUGAGACAUUUGUUCUUAUA
rnacentral:lncRNA from 1 species